AAGUCGUAACAAGGUCUCCGUUGGUGAACCAGCGGAGGGAUCAUUACCGAGUUUACAACUCCCAAACCCCUGUGAACAUACCUUAUGUUGCCUCGGCGGAUCAGCCCGCGCCCCGUAAAAAGGGACGGCCCGCCGCAGGAACCCUAAACUCUGUUUUUAGUGGAACUUCUGAGUAUAAAAACAAAUAAAUCAAAACUUUCAACAACGGAUCUCUUGGUUCUGGCAUCGAUGAAGAACGCAGCAAAAUGCGAUAAGUAAUGUGAAUUGCAGAAUUCAGUGAAUCAUCGAAUCUUUGAACGCACAUUGCGCCCGCCAGUAUUCUGGCGGGCAUGCCUGUUCGAGCGUCAUUUCAACCCUCAAGCCCAGCUUGGUGUUGGGAGCUGCAGUCCUGCUGCACUCCCCAAAUACAUUGGCGGUCACGUCGAGCUUCCAUAGCGUAGUAAUUUACACAUCGUUACUGGUAAUCGUCGCGGCCACGCCGUUAAACCCCAACUUCUGAAUGUUGACCUCGGAUCAGGUAGGAAUACCCGCUGAACUUAA
rnacentral:rRNA from 1 species